GUAGAGAAAAAUUUUCUCCCUUGAAUUACACUCCAAUAUUCAAACUUGGGAGCAUGAAGUGUUACUCAAACCAACAGAACCCAAAUUAAACUUGAAUUCUCACAGUGAUACCCAGUUUGUUAAUUGUCAAUCGCAUCUCUUCUUGUUGCUGCUCUAAGCAAGAUCAUGUCAUUUUCAACUCAAAUCUUCACUUUAGAAAAAGACUGGCAGUGUAUGUCAUACUCACCGUAAACUAAACUUAAACAGUUGAAACUAACAACCAUGUUAUUAAGUGCAAA
rnacentral:misc_RNA from 1 species